UACGUAGGGUGCGAGCGUUAAUCGGAAUUACUGGGCGUAAAGCGUGCGCAGGCGGUUUUGUAAGCCGGAUGUGAAAUCCCCGGGCUUAACCUGGGAAUGGCAUUCGGGACUGCAAGGCUGGAGUGCGGCAGAGGAGACUGGAAUUCCGCGUGUAGCAGUGAAAUGCGUAGAUAUGCGGAGGAACACCGAUGGCGAAGGCAAUCCCCUGGGCCUGCACUGACGCUCAUGCACGAAAGCGUGGGGAGCAAACAGG
rnacentral:rRNA from 1 species